rnacentral:rRNA from 1 species
UACGUAGGGGGCUAGCGUUGUCCGGAAUCAUUGGGCGUAAAGCGCGUGUAGGCGGUCCGGUAAGUCCGCUGUGAAAGUCGAGGGCUCAACCCUCGAAUGCCGGUGGAUACUGUCGGGCUAGAGUGCGGAAGAGGCGAGUGGAAUUCCUGGUGUAGCGGUGAAAUGCGCAGAUAUCAGGAAGAACACCCGUGGCUAAGGCGGUUCUCUAGUACGGUACUGACGCUGAGACGCGAAAGCGUGGGGAGCGAACAGG